AAAUUGAAUGAGGGGUGAAAGGAAAGGGUGCAGGGCGCGUGAUAUGGAGAGAAAACUAGGUUUUGGCUUUCGUUGCUCGCUCGUAUCAAUGGAAGUGUGAUUUAUUCCGCCAUUCACUUCUUGUUUUGCUUGUCCCAUUCCAUGCGAAACUCAAUCCCUAGUUUUUCUACUGCCAUUCGCAAAGUUCUUUCCUGGCCUUUUUAGCCCCUUAGGACCUGGGUCUCUUUGUUUCCUGUGAGUGGUUAGCCUUGACCAAUAGUAGGGGCAAUCACCAAGGUUGGUUUGUCUCUCGUUUUUUGCAGCCAGCAAAACUGCGAUUAUUUUUGAUAAGAUUCCAGCCACCGCUAACGGCACAACAACGUUUGAGAGAGCAGCAUGUGUAGCGACAAUAAGGGUUUCCUUCUAGCGACGACAAGUGCUUCCUUCCUCUCGCGACAAGAGCUUCCUUCCAUCGACGAUAAGGGUUUUCUAACCGCGGCGACGAGGCUUUCCUUCCAACGAUGGACAAGGACUUGUCCAAGUGGGGUUCAUGGCGGAGUUGUUCGCAAAGUGUAGCUGUAGAUUGAAGCCCACGACCCAUUUUCCCACAGUAACACACAUUUAAACUUUCAAGAUGUUGUGUUGAGAAUUAAGCCUGAAAAUUUCAACGAAAAAGAGGGGGAUUGGAAAAUUACAGAGGUUUCUUCUGAUGCCUUGUGUAUUAGGGACAUAAAGUUCAUGUUUGAUGAAGUUUUUUGAUGCCAACUCCAAUCAGGAAGAUGUUUUCAGUCAGUGGGUGUUCCUUUGGUUAGAAACGUCUUAGUUGGUUACAACAUUACUAUUCUGUCAUUUAGCCAGGUACAUUUGGUUGCUUAUUUUUAAACUUUCCUAGUGACAAAACAAGUGUCACUUUUUGAUGGAAUAUUGAGGAUUACUUUUCCUUUAUCACCUAUGUUGUGCUUCUUUACUAGUCUAGGAGUAGUAGUUAUGCUUCUUUACUAGUCUAGAGUAGUAGAAAGAUUUACACAAUGUGAGGUUGACUAAGAAAUAUAUAUAAAAUUCAUCAUUAAUGUAAAUUUGUAUAUAUGAUUAAAAAAUAAGAUAUAUAAUUAUGUCACACAUAGGUGGGGUAAUCAAAUAUUAAUGAACAUCAUGGUUAAACAAGGUUUAUCUAUUCAUUAACUUUUGUUUUAAUUAUUUUUAUGGCAAAUGAAAUCAUACAAGUAGUCACCAUGAUAGAAAGUGUUGACCAUUAUGGAAAUUGCAUCGAAACCAUAUAUAUAUAUAUAUAUAUAUAUUAAAUUUUGAAUGAUUGAGUUUGGAUUACAGUAUAGGGAAGGCUUGUUUUUUAUGAGCAACAAUUUAACUAUCAAUAUCGUUCAUUUUUUGAGUUAAAUCAGAACUUAAGUUUCCUUUAUAAAGCUUCUCAAAACAGUAAUGAGUUGGUCGAUUAAUGUUGGUAAUGUGUUUCUUCCUUUUAUUUGGUUGUGCUCUAAAACAAAUAUAAAACGAACGAAUUGGCGAUUUACUCAAUCCUAUCCAACAAAACCUUGAGGUAGGCAUAUGCUUCCGUCAUUUUGGUACAAGUUUUCAUGAAUUUAUUGUUUCUCGUUUCUGCUCUACAUGCUUGUUACCUUUGUCAAAAUUAUUACAGAUGAAGGAUGAUUCAAGAAAUGCUCCUUAUAUUAAAAAUUUCAUUGAGGAAUACGUCACUAAUUAUGAUUAUGUGGCACAAAUUUUGAUUAAGGGCCUUUCAAGAG